rnacentral:rRNA from 1 species
AUACGUAGGGGGCGAGCGUUGUCCGGAAUGAUUGGGCGUAAAGGGCGCGUAGGCGGCCCGGUAAGUCUGGAGUGAAAGUCCUGUUUUUAAGAUGGGAAUUGCUUUGGAUACUGUCGGGCUUGAGUGCAGGAGAGGUAAGUGGAAUUCCCAGUGUAGCGGUGAAAUGCGUAGAGAUUGGGAGGAACACCAGUGGCGAAGGCGACUUACUGGACUGUAACUGACGCUGAGGCGCGAAAGUGUGGGGAGCAAACAGGAUUGGAUACCCUGGUAGUCCACACUGUAAACGAUGAAUGCUAGGUGUAGGGGGUAUCGACCCCUUCUGUGCCGCAGUCAACACAAUAAGCAUUCCGCCUGGGGAGUACGGCCGCAAGGUUGAAACUCAAAUGAAUUGGCGGGG